rnacentral:tRNA from 1 species
GAGGCAUUGGUGUAGUAGUAGCAUUACUCCCUGUGGAGGAGUCGGCGCGAGUGCAAAUCUCGUAUGCUUCC